GUCCACUGUAACGUAUUAUUAGUCAUUGUAGGUUUACUUAGGCUUACAGAAUGCAAAAACUUAUUGCCGUUUUAAUUUUUGUGCAAAUAUCAAUAGUACUUUCCCAAUUUGGCUGUGAUACAGUGAUCUGUAAAAGUCCUUUAGUAUGCAGGAAUAACUUAAACUCCUGUAGAAAUCAAUGCUCGUAUUAUCAUGGUUCAUUGGUUUGCACCCAAGAUAAUAGAAUUGACUGCUACUGUCGCGUUGGAUAUUGCAAUAAUGGUCAAGGAAAAUGUGUGCAAAUAUAGUAAAGUGUGAAGUGUGAUUUCAUGAAAAAAAUUUGUUGUUGUGUUAAUUCAUGCCUUUGAGAUCUACUAAUAGAAAAUAGAAAUUUUAAUUUAAAAAAAUGCA